ACGGCCACGUUACGUUGCAACACCGAUUCCCGUACGAUCACCGAGAGGUAAGCAAGGUCGAGCCUGGCCAGUAUCUAGAUGAGUGACCGAUUGUAAAUGCCAGGUGCUGCAAG